AUGCACGCUGGCGGCGUGCUUCACCCAUGCAAGUCGCACGAUGAAGCCCAGCUUGCUGGGUGGAUUAGUGGCGAACGGGUGAGUAACACGUGAGUAACCUGCCCUUAACUCUGGGAUAAGCCUGGGAAACUGGGUCUAAUACCGGAUAGGAGCGCCUACCGCAUGGUGGGUGUUGGAAAGAUUUAUCGGUUUUGGAUGGACUCGCGGCCUAUCAGCUUGUUGGUGAGGUAAUGGCUCACCAAGGCGACGACGGGUAGCCGGCCUGAGAGGGUGACCGGCCACACUGGGACUGAGACACGGCCCAGACUCCUACGGGAGGCAGCAGUGGGGAAUAUUGCACAAUGGGCGAAAGCCUGAUGCAGCGACGCCGCGUGAGGGAUGACGGCCUUCGGGUUGUAAACCUCUUUCAGUAGGGAAGAAGCGAAAGUGACGGUACCUGCAGAAGAAGCACCGGCUAACUACGUG
rnacentral:rRNA from 1 species